rnacentral:rRNA from 1 species
CUACGGGGUGCACCAGUAGGGAAUCUUCGGCAAUGGACGGAAGUCUGACCGAGCAACGCCGCGUGAGUGAAGAGGGUUUUCGGACCGUAAAGCUCUGUUGUAAGAGAAGAACGAGUGUGAGAGUGGAAAGUUCACACUGUGACGGUAUCUUACCAGAAAGGGACGGCUAACUACGUGCCAGCAGCCGCGGUAAUACGUAGGUCCCGAGCGUUGUCCGGAUUUAUUGGGCGUAAAGCGAGCGCAGGCGGUUAGAUAAGUCUGAAGUUAAAGGCUGUGGCUUAACCAUAGUACGCUUUGGAAACUGUUUAACUUGAGUGCAGAAGGGGAGAGUGGAAUUCCAUGUGUAGCGGUGAAAUGCGUAGAUAUAUGGAGGAACACCGGUGGCGAAAGCGGCUCUCUGGUCUGUAACUGACGCUGAGGCUCGAAAGCGUGGGGAGCAAACAGGAUUAGAUACCCCUGUAGUC